rnacentral:rRNA from 1 species
AAAUUGAAGAGUUUGAUCAUGGCUCAGAUUGAACGCUGGCGGCAGGCCUAACACAUGCAAGUCGAACGGUAACAGGAAGAAGCUUGCUUCUUUGCUGACGAGUGGCGGACGGGUGAGUAAUGUCUGGGAAACUGCCUGAUGGAGGGGGAUAACUACUGGAAACGGUAGCUAAUACCGCAUAACGUCGCAAGACCAAAGAGGGGGACCUUCGGGCCUCUUGCCAUCGGAUGUGCCCAGAUGGGAUUAGCUAGUAGGUGGGGUAACGGCUCACCUAGGCGACGAUCCCUAGCUGGUCUGAGAGGAUGACCAGCCACACUGGAACUGAGACACGGUCCAGACUCCUACGGGAGGCAGCAGUGGGGAAUAUUGCACAAUGGGCGCAAGCCUGAUGCAGCCAUGCCGCGUGUAUGAAGAAGGCCUUCGGGUUGUAAAGUACUUUCAGCGGGGAGGAAGGGAGUAAAGUUAAUACCUUUGCUCAUUGACGUUACCCGCAGAAGAAGCACCGGCUAACUCCGUGCCAGCAGCCGCGGUAAUACGGAGGGUGCAAGCGUUAAUCGGAAUUACUGGGCGUAAAGCGCACGCAGGCGGUUUGUUAAGUCAGAUGUGAAAUCCCCGGGCUCAACCUGGGAACUGCAUCUGAUACUGGCAAGCUUGAGUCUCGUAGAGGGGGGUAGAAUUCCAGGUGUAGCGGUGAAAUGCGUAGAGAUCUGGAGGAAUACCGGUGGCGAAGGCGGCCCCCUGGACGAAGACUGACGCUCAGGUGCGAAAGCGUGGGGAGCAAACAGGAUUAGAUACCCUGGUAGUCCACGCCGUAAACGAUGUCGACUUGGAGGUUGUGCCCUUGAGGCGUGGCUUCCGGAGCUAACGCGUUAAGUCGACCGCCUGGGGAGUACGGCCGCAAGGUUAAAACUCAAAUGAAUUGACGGGGGCCCGCACAAGCGGUGGAGCAUGUGGUUUAAUUCGAUGCAACGCGAAGAACCUUACCUGGUCUUGACAUCCACGGAAGUUUUCAGAGAUGAGAAUGUGCCUUCGGGAACCGUGAGACAGGUGCUGCAUGGCUGUCGUCAGCUCGUGUUGUGAAAUGUUGGGUUAAGUCCCGCAACGAGCGCAACCCUUAUCCUUUGUUGCCAGCGGUCCGGCCGGGAACUCAAAGGAGACUGCCAGUGGUAAACUGGAGGAAGGUGGGGAUGACGUCAAGUCAUCAUGGCCCUUACGACCAGGGCUACACACGUGCUACAAUGGCGCAUACAAAGAGAAGCGACCUCGCGAGAGCAAGCGGACCUCAUAAAGUGCGUCGUAGUCCGGAUUGGAGUCUGCAACUCGACUCCAUGAAGUCGGAAUCGCUAGUAAUCGUGGAUCAGAAUGCCACGGUGAAUACGUUCCCGGGCCUUGUACACACCGCCCGUCACACCAUGGGAGUGGGUUGCAAAAGAAGUAGGUAGCUUAACCUUCGGGAGGGCGCUUACCACUUUGUGAUUCAUGACUGGGGUGAAGUCGUAACAAGGUAACCGUAGGGGAACCUGCGGUUGGAUCACCUCCUUA